AAGAAGAAUUUUAUGGACUAGGUAAUUUAUUGAGGGAUGUUCAAAUAACAAUAGAGGAAUUCUUUAAGGAUCUUCAAGAAGAAUUCAGGAACUGGGAAGCAA